GAUGAACGCUGGCGGCGUGCCUAAUACAUGCAAGUCGAGCGAAUGGAUUAAGAGCUUGCUCUUAUGAAGUUAGCGGCGGACGGGUGAGUAACACGUGGGUAACCUGCCCAUAAGACUGGGAUAACUCCGGGAAACCGGGGCUAAUACCGGAUAACAUUUUGAACCGCAUGGUUCGAAAUUGAAAGGCGGCUUCGGCUGUCAAUUCUGGAUGGACCCGCGUCGCAUUAGCUAGUUGGUGUGGUAACGGCUCACCAAGGCAACGAUGCGUAGCCGACCUGAGAGGGUGAUCGGCCACACUGGGACUGAGACACGGCCCAGACUCCUACGGGAGGCAGCAGUAGGGAAUCUUCCGCAAUGGACGAAAGUCUGACGGAGCAACGCCGCGUGAGUGAUGAAGGCUUUCGGGUCGUAAAACUCUGUUGUUAGGGAAGAACAAGUGCUAGUUGAAUAAGCUGGCACCUUGACGGUACCUAACCAGAAAGCCACGGCUAACUACGUGCCAGCCGCCGCGGUAA
rnacentral:rRNA from 1 species